CCUACGGGGGGCAGCAGUGGGGAAUAUUGGGCAAUGGGCGCAAGCCUGACCCAGCGACGCCGCGUGAGGGAAGACGGUCUUCGGAUUGUAAACCUCUUUUAGCAGGGAAGACAAAAGGACGGUACCUGCAGAAGAAGCCACGCCUAACUACGUGCCAGCAGCCGCGGUAAUCCGGAGGUGGCAAGCGUUAUCCGGAAUUACUGGGUGUAAAGGGUGUGUAGGCGGGGUUGCAAGUCAGAUGUGAAAAUUAUGGGCUCAACCAAUAACCUGCGUUUGAAACUACAGAUCUUGAGAGUGGGAGAGGUAGACGGAAUGCGCGGUGUAGCGGUGAAAUGCAUAGAUAUCGGGAGGAACACCAGUGGCGAAGGCGGUUUACUGGACCACAACUGACGCUGAGACACGAAAGCGUGGGGAGCAAACAGGAUUAGAUACCCUUGUAGUC
rnacentral:rRNA from 1 species